GGUCAUAGCUCAGAGGUUGAGCAUCUGCUUUGCAUGCAGAAGGUCCCAAGUUCAAUCUAGCCCAGGUAGGGCUA